CGGGGUAUAGCUCAGCUUGGCUAGAGCGCUUGGUUCGGGACCAAGAGGUCGCAGGUUCGAAUCCCGUUACCCCGA
rnacentral:tRNA from 1 species